GUUGCUUCUUGAAAUCCGAGUGACUUUUAACUCUUUAAUCAUUCGUACCAAGAAGCAUACAGUAAACAAUAGUGCCAGUUUUAAACAGCAUGAUGUACAUUUCUUGCAUUGUGUUACCUGUCUCCUGGUUCAUGU